AGCGAACGCUGGCGGCAGGCUUAACACAUGCGAGUCGAACGGGCUUCUUCGGAAGUCAGUGGCAGACGGGUGAGUAACACGUGGGAACGUGCCCUUCGGUUCGGAAUAACUCAGGGAAACUUGAGCUAAUACCGGAUACGCCCUUUUGGGGAAAGGUUUACUGCCGAAGGAUCGGCCCGCGUCUGAUUAGCUUGUUGGUGGGGUAACGGCCUACCAAGGCGACGAUCAGUAGCUGGUCUGAGAGGAUGAUCAGCCACACUGGGACUGAGACACGGCCCAGACUCCUACGGGAGGCAGCAGUGGGGAAUAUUGGACAAUGGGCGCAAGCCUGAUCCAGCCAUGCCGCGUGAGUGAUGAAGGCCUUAGGGUUGUAAAGCUCUUUUGUCCGGGACGAUAAUGACGGUACCGGAAGAAUAAGCCCCGGCCAACUUCGUG
rnacentral:rRNA from 1 species